GGGGAGGGGAGGACUGGCUCUCCCCUGCUCACCCCCCUAUUCUGAGGCUCAGCCCUCCUCCGCGCCCACCAUCUCGGGGCUCCGGGACUGUAAGGGACCCCUGCAGUCCCCAGAGCUGAGGCCAGAAGGGACAGAGACUAUGAGGCAAGCAGCCCACCGACCCAGGCCUCCUUAGGACCAGCCCAGCCACCCAGCAAGCUGGCGAGCAGCAGCGGAGAGAGGAGUAGGAGAUAAAGGACCACAGCCGACCUUUGGGGACCAUCCCCGGCAGCUCCUGUGGACCCUAGCCAGGCUGAGGGCUCCUGAUAGAUGGCCAGACUCACAGACGCUGAUGGACACACAAUGACAGCGAUGAUGCACACAGCAGCAUUGAGAUACUCAGAUACAACCAGUGACAGCAUCACCCACUGCCACAGCCCUGCAAUAUAGACACCCCCCCACACACACACAGAAACAACUGGUAACUCCGAAACAGGCACAGACAGUGACACGCAGAACCACUACCCCCAACACAAGCGGGGGCAUCCAUCUGCCAAACACACACACACACACACACACACACACACACGGCAGCACUGACCGGCACAGACAGACCUGGAGACACACGGACACCCUCACCCGGGCACUGCUGUUGGUGGCCUUUGCACAUCCUCCCCACCCCCACGGGGACACCCUUGCUCCUCCACACACUCACACACACACGCAGCCACAGCAACAGCAAACACAGCUCGCAUACCCCAGCUCCGGCUCUGGCAGCCCAGACUCCUGCAGCCUCCUUUGUGGAUGAGGAAGAACUCAGCCAGCCUCGGAUGGAUGUUCGGUGAAGCCCAGAGCUCAGAAAAGAAAGGCUCUGGCCUGGCAGGACCCUCGCCAGCCCCUCCACCCGGCUGGGUGAUGUCCCCUGGCCUGGGUCCUGGGGCCCCUUGGCAGAACCAUGGAGCAACUGACACCCCUCCCGCGGCCGGGGGACCCCAGAAACAUGGAGCCAUGGGCACUGCCCGCCUGGCAGAGCUGGACUCCAGGCCAGGGGGGCGAACCCGGAGGUGCAUCCCCAAGCAUGGCCGAUACUCCGGCAGCUCUGCAUGUGGGAGAACUGAGGCCUGAGGAGAGCCCUGAGCCUGAGGGAGCCCGAAGCCCUGGGGCUGUGGGGGGCAUUGAGCCCAGAAGAACAGAAACUGGGCUGCCUAGCUCGGGGCCUGGAGCCUUGGGGUCCAGACCCAGCUGCCAGAGGCUGGAGGACGAGGAGCUGGAGGCUUCCCCUAAGGGCAAGCUGAAAAUGGGCUUUGGGGACCAGCCCAACCUGGAGCUGCUGAGGGCAGUGGGGGAGCUGCAGCAGCGCUGUGCCAUCCUUAAGGAGGAGAACCAGAUGCUGAGGAAGAGCAGCUUCCCCGAGACAGAGGAGAAGGUGCGGAGGCUGAAGCGGAAGAACGCCGAGCUGGCGGUCAUUGCCAAGCGCCUGGAGGAGAGAGCCCGGAAGCUGCAGGAGACUAACCUGAGGGUGGUGAGUGCUCCCAUGCCCAGUCCAGGGGCCAGCUUGGAGUUAUGCCGGAAGGCCCUGGCCCGUCAACGAGCCCGGGACCUCAGUGAGACAGCCAGCGCCCUGCUGGCCAAGGACAAGCAGAUUGCUGCCUUGCAGCGGGAGUGCAGGGAGCUGCAGGCCAGGCUCACGCUGGUCGGCAAGGAGGGCCCCCAGUGGCUCCACGUGCGGGACUUCGACCGGCUGCUGCGCGAAUCCCAGCGGGAGGUGCUGCGGCUGCAGAGGCAAAUCGCCCUCCGCAACCAGAGGGAGCCUCCCCCACCGCCCCGGCCCCCGGGCCCCGCAGCCCCGGCCAGAGGAGGGGCGCCCGCCCCCGGGGCCCCGGGAGAGGCCACGCCCCAGGAGGAUGUGGAAAACCCACCCUUGGUCCUAGGGGAGCCAGAGAAACAGCAGAGGGUGCAGCAGCUGGAAUCGGAGCUCAGCAAGAAGCGGAAGAAAUGCGAGAGCCUAGAGCUGGAAGCCCGGAAAAAGCAGAGGCGAUGUGAGGAGCUGGAACUGCAGCUGAGGGAAGCCCGGAAUGAGAAUGCCCGCCUUGUGGAGGAGAACUCUCGGCUCAGUGGGAGAGCCACGGAGAAGGAGCAGGUGGAGUGGGAGAAUGCGGAGUUGAGGGGGCAGCUCCUGGGGGUGACACAGGAGAGGGACUCGGCCCUUCUCAAGAGCCAGGGCCUGCAGAGCAAGCUGGAGAGCCUGGAGCAGGUGCUGAAGCACAUGCGGGAGGUGGCCCAGCGGCGGCAGCAGCUGGAGGUGGAGCAUGAGCAGGCUCGCCUCAGCCUGCAGGAGAAACAGGAGGAGGUCCGGAGGCUGCAGCAGGCCCAGGCAGAAGCCAAGAGGGAACAUGAAGGGGCUGUGCAGCUGCUGGAGUCUACCCUGGAUUCCAUGCAGGUCCGGGUUCGAGAGCUGGAGGAGCAGUGCCGUAGCCAGACUGAGCGCUUCAGCCUCCUGGCGCAGGAGCUCCAGGCCUUCCGCCUGCACCCGGGGCCCUUGGAUCUGCUCACUUCUGCCCUGGGCUGCAAUACUCUUGGGGACCGCCCGCCGCCCCCCUGCUGCUGCUCCACCCCCCAGCCCUGCCGGGGGUCCGGCCUCAAAGACUUUGACCUCCCGCCAGGCUCCCCAGGGCACUGCACCCCAAAGUCUUCCGAGUCUGCCCCUGCCACUCUUGCUGGGGUCCCCCGAAGGACGGCCAAGAAGGCAGAAUCUCUCUCCAACUCCUCUCGCUCCGAGUCCAUCCACAACAGCCCCAAGUCAUGCCCUACGCCUGAGGUGGACACAGCCAGUGAGGUGGAGGAGCUGGAGGCAGACGGAGUCUCCCUGCUCCCAGCAGCACUGCCCGAGGGCAGCGGGGGAGGAGCCAGGAUCCAGGUCUUCCUAGCGCGCUACAGCUACAACCCCUUCGAGGGCCCCAAUGAGAACCCAGAGGCAGAGCUUCCACUUACCGCUGGCGAGUACAUCUAUAUCUAUGGUAACAUGGACGAGGAUGGCUUCUUUGAAGGGGAGCUCAUGGACGGCCGGAGGGGCCUGGUCCCUUCCAAUUUUGUAGAGCGUGUGUCCGACGACGACCUCCUGACCGCCCUCCCUCCAGAGCUGGCCGAUCUGUCCCACAGCUCAGGCCCCGAACUCAGUUUCCUGAGCGGCGGCGGGGGUGGCAGCAGCAGCAGCAGCGGUGGCGGGGACCAGAGCAGCGGGGGCCGCAGCCAGCCCAGACCAGAGGAAGAGGCUGCAGGGGACGAGCUCAGUCUGAGCCCCCCGCCCGAGGGCCUGGGGGAGCCCCCUGCGGUGCCUUACCCCCGCUGCCUGGCCAUCCUUAAGCAGCUGGCCCACAGCGUGGUGCUGGCCUGGGAGCCACCUCCUGAGCACGUGGCGCUGCGAGGCUACCACGUCUGUGUGAAUGGGGAGCUGCGGCAGGCCCUGGGGCCCGGGGCGCCCCCCACGGCUGUGCUUGACAACCUGGACCCGCGGGCGGGGCCGUUCCGUGUCUCUGUGCAGGCCCUGACCAGUCGGGGCCGCUCGGACCCUCUGCGCUGUUGCUUGGUGUUGGGGGCCCGGGCCGGGGUGGUCCCUAGCCAGCUGCGAGUCCAUCGCCUGACAGCCACAUCUGCUGAGAUCACCUGGGUGCCCGGCAAUAGCAACUUGGCCCAUGCCAUCUACCUCAAUGGGGAAGAGUGUCCCUCUGCCCGCCCCAGCACCUACUGGGCCACCUUCUGCCACCUGCGGCCUGGUACACUCUAUCAGGUCCGAGUGGAGGCUCAGCUCCCACCUCGAGGGUCCUGGGAACCCGGCUGGGAGAGGCCAGAGCAGCGGACUGCCACUUUGCAGUUCACCACACUCCCAGCAGGCCCACCCGACGCCCCCCUGGAUGUACAGAUUGAGCCGGGGCCCUCCCCGGGAAUCUUGAUCAUCAGCUGGCUCCCGGUAACAAUCGAUGCGGCUGGUACCUCCAACGGCGUGCGGGUCACCGGCUAUGCCAUUUAUGCUGAUGGGCAGAAGGUCAUGGAGGUGGCCUCCCCCACAGCAGGCAGCGUGCUGGUGGAGUUGUCCCAGCUGCAGCUGCUGCAGGAGUGCCGCGAGGUGGCCGUGCGCACCAUGUCAGCCCACGGCGAGUCGGCCGACUCCAUCCCAGCUCCCAUCGCCCCGGCCCUGGCGAGGGCCUGCUUGCCAGCCAGGGUCUCCUGCCCCUCACCCAGGCCGGGCCCGGAGGCCAGAUCACCUCUUGCUUCAGCCUCCCCGGGGCCUGCAGACCCCAGCUCUCCCCUCCGGUGCCCUGCUCCCCAUGGAACUCAAGACCCCCCCGGGGGCCCCCCAGCAAGCCCUUCCAGAGAGACACCAAAAGGAACCCAAGAGGAGCCCCCAGCACCUGGCUCCCAGGAGGAAGCUGGGCCCGCUGUGCUGGGUGCCUCAGGCGACGGGCAAGCCGGCGAGCCAACCUUGGGAGAGCGAGUUCCUGGCCCUGCAGCCUCCUCCCUGGUCAAGGAGGAGGCUGAGCGGACCGCAGGAGAGGCCCGCCCGGCACCCGGCGGCACCCAGAAUUCACUGGCCCAGAGGCUGCCCGGUGCUGAGGUCUGCCGCGGAGGAGACCCGGGGUCCGGGCUGAGGCCCAGGGUUGAGCGGGAGGACCCAGCAGAGCUCGGGGUGCGUCUGGGGAACUCCCUUGUGGACCACGGCCGUACCUCAGAUCUGUCAGACAUCCAGGAGGAAGAGGAGGAGGAAGAAGAGGAGCUGGGCGUCAGGACUUGCUCCUUCCAGAAGCAGGUUGCUGGCAACAAGUGCAGGGAGAAUGCAGCCAAGCCCCAGCCUGACCCCUUCUGUGAGGCUGACAGCGACGAGGAGAUCUUGGAGCAGAUCCUGGAGCUGCCCCUCCAGCAGUUCUGCGGCAAGAAGCUCUUCAGCAUCCCUGAGGAGGAGGAGGAGGAGGAGGAGGACGAGGAGGAGGAGGCGGAGGAGGAGGAGGACGAGGAGGAGGAGGAGAAGGAGAGGCCAGGGGCAGGCUGUUCUUCUCGAGACCCCGGCCCGCCGGAGCCUGCAUUGCUGGCGCUGGGCUGUGACAGCAGUCGGCCCCGAGGAUCUGGCCUGUGUCCCUUGUCUCCGGAGCCCCCCAGGGCUGGGGACCGCCUGGAGGACCUGCCUGGACUAGCUGGUGGAAGCAACUGGAGAAAAGGAAGUGGGUCCCCUGAGAAGCCCGCGAACCGCAGGCGGUCCCCAGAUCCCCGUGAACAUUGCAGCCGACUUCUCAGCAAUGGCGGGUCCCAGGCCUCUGGACGACCGGGCCCAGCUCGGGAGAGGGGCGGCCCUCCUGUGGGCGAGGGCAGCAGGGCUGGACCAGAGGCAGGUGGGAGAGGGCGCUCGGCCCCUUCGAGGAGGUGCCCCCGUGGCCGGGCCCCGGAAUCAGGCCUGGCCAGCUGCCUCUCCCCCAAGUGCUUGGAAAUCAGCAUUGAAUAUGACUCUGAGGACGAGCAGGAGACGGGCGGCGGGGGCAUCAGCAGCACCAGCUCCUGCUACCUCGGAGAUGGGGAGGCCUGGGGCACAGCGCCCCCGGGAAGGCCCAGGGGGCCUCAGAAGGCCAAUUCAGGGCCCAACCCCUACCCACGCCUCCCAGCCUGGGACAAAGGGGAGCCAGAGCGGAGAGGCCGCAGUGCAACAGGCAGAGCCAAGGAGUCACCUUCCCGGGUCCGUGCCCUCUCCCCGCCCUGGGCAGCUUCCUGCCUGCUGCCGCCUGGUGGCCCUGCUUGCUGCCCACCAGCUGCUCCCAUUCCACGCUGCCGCCUCCAUCAGCAGAGGCAGCAGAGAGCGGGGAGUCCAGAGGGCAGGACGGCUCUGGGCGGAGGGGCCCCCCAUGGAGUGGGGGCCGGGCCCCCAGACCAGGCUCCACAGAGCUGGCACCUCUGAGGAGCCCUCCAGAAGAAGCGCUGGCUUACCAGGACCUACCCGUCAGGCUCUUCGUGGCUCUGUUUGACUAUGACCCCGUGUCAAUGUCUCCCAACCCCGAUGCUGGGGAAGAGGAGCUGCCCUUCCAGGAGGGCCAGAUCCUCAAGGUGUUUGGGGACAAGGAUGCCGAUGGCUUCUAUCGGGGUGAAGGUGGCGGCCGGACGGGCUACAUCCCCUGCAACAUGGUGGCCGAGGUGGCUGUGGACAGUCCUGCAGGGAGACAGCAGCUGCUCCAGCGGGGUUACUUGUCCCCAGAUGCUCUCCUUGAGGGUUCAGGGAACGGUACCUUUGUGUACACCACAGCCCGCACAGCUGGGCCUCCCCCCAAGCCUCGCCGCUCCAAGAAAGCCCCCCCCAGCUGGUCUCCUCUGCCGCCUGAAAGCUCCCCGCUCCAUGGUGGCUGCAUUUGACUACAACCCCCGGGAGAGCUCCCCCAACAUGGACGUGGAGGCAGAGCUGCCCUUCCGGGCGGGCGACGUCAUCACUGUGUUUGGGGACAUGGACGAUGAUGGUUUCUACUAUGGGGAACUGAAUGGACAGCAGGGCCUGGUUCCAUCCAACUUCCUGGAGGGCCCGGGGCCUGAGACGGGAGGCUCAGACAGGGAGCCCGGGACACUCCAGGCCGAGGGUCAGAGAACGAGGAGGAGAAGAGUCCAGUGCUAGAUGGAGAUAGAUAUAUGUAGAGAGAGCGACAUGACGGGGCGGGCUCAAUACAAGGGCCCCCGGCGGCAACCCCAGGCUGGCCCUGUGCUCCUGGCCCUGGCCGCUUCCCCAGGAUUGAACUAGGGGUGCUACAGGGCCCGAGCAAGAAGAUGUGGGGUCUCCUCUCCAAGGGGAAGCAGCUCCUCAGGAAACUGGGCUCUGAGAAGAAGGAGUGAUGCUGCGGGCCUCCCCCCCGACCCCUGGCAGGCAGAGGGGGCCCCAGGCCCUGGGUGCACUGUCCUGGCCGCAUGGGGCAGGCCCUGGACGCUUGUCUCCCAAGUGAGCCCUGUGGCCCUUGGAUGGGAAUCAGACUCGGUGAAAGUUACAGCUGGAUGAGCCCUUAAGGAUGGAUCCUCUGGGCGCGCAUCUCCCUCUUACAGGAGGGGCACCUGAGCCCCAGCCCGAGGGAGGGCGUCGGCCCCUGCGGGGCUGAGCAUCUCUGACCCAGAGCCAGGCCUGGACGUGGGACUCGUGACUCCUGGUUCACCUACCUCCGCUGGCAUCCACCACGCUCUGCUAGUCCCUUCGUGGCCUCCACGCACCUGGCCCGGGGAUCCCGGGGAGAAAGGGACCUGCUCCCCUCGGACGGCAUCGGCCAUCCCGAUCAUGUCUUCCCUCCCCGAAGGAAAGUUUGCACUGGAUUCUGCUGCGUCCCCCACCCCCGAGGGGGCCGGGGGCAGAGCCGUGUAUAUAUGUACAUACUCAGUGCCUCCGCCCAGCUUCCUCCAUCUCGCUCCCACCGCAAGGCCCGGGAAGGAGAAAGGCCAUGCCAAAGCGGGCCUGACCCCGCCCCAUAGUGCUCCCCCCACCUGCCAGGCGCCCCCCUGGCCUGAGACCCGAGACCCCGGGGGGCCAGCGGGCAGACAGCAGGAGUUGGGUUUGCCUUAUUUUGCUCAUCGAUUCAACUUCUCUUUUGCAUCGUUUUCCCUUAGACCAGGGGCUGGGGAAGAGGACAGAUUUAUGCAGCUAUUUUCAUACAUUCCCUGUUCAGAGCGGGGUGGGGGGCUUCUCCCCCGCCCCCCCUUCCCCUCGCCCCUUCACCACCCCCCCUCAGGCUGGGUGAGUGUCUCUGCAUGUUUCGUUGGCUGUGGUGGGAGAUUGUUUGACGGAAGCCUGCCCCCCACUUUGAUCUCCAGGCGUGUGGAAUGGUGGGGGCAUUUGUUUAAAAAGACAUUUUAUUAUAAUAAAGUCUAUUUUCACAAAA